rnacentral:rRNA from 1 species
GACGAACGCUGGCGGCGUGCCUAAUACAUGCAAGUCGAACGCAGUGGGGACGGGUGAGUAACACGUGGGUAACCUCCCAUCAGAGGGGAUAACACUUGGAAACAGGUGCUAAACCGAUAUUGAUGGAUGGACCCGCGGUGCAUUAGCUAGUUGGUGAGGUAACGGCUCACCAAGGCCACGAUGCAUAGCCGACCUGAGAGGGUGAGCGGCCAAACUGGGACUGAGACACGGUCCAGACUCCUACGGGAGGCAGCAGUGGGGAAUAUUGGACAAUGGGCGAAAGCCUGAUCCAGCCAUGCCGCGUGUGUGAAGAAGGUCUUCGGAUUGUAAAGCACUUUAAGUUGGGAGGCGUUACCCGCAGAAGAAGCACCGGCUAACUCCGUGCCAGCAGCCGCGGUAAUAC